rnacentral:lncRNA from 1 species
GCCUGAAGCGCUGUCAGUGCCGGGUCCUGCAGCUCCGCGGAGAGCAGUGUCCGCUUCCAGAGCUGCAGCAUGGAGCCGCACCGCUGGCUGCCUCUGGAGGCCAAUCCCGACGUCAUUAAUCAGAUGCACAUGCUCCUCUGGGAUCUUCCUCAUCUCAGUGACUAAAAGACAACUUGAAAAAUUGUUGCCUUGAACAUUCCAUUCCCC